rnacentral:SRP_RNA from 1 species
AAUAGGUUUUGGGCAAUGGUGAGCCUGCUAAGCGUGUCAGGUCCGGAAGGAAGCAGCACUACGUAGGCGUCAUCAUGUGCCUAUUUUUUUACCUAUAAAU